CGGCCGGGGGGACGGGGUGCGCCGCGCUCGGUGCCCCCUCGGCCCGCGCCUCGCCAGCACCACCUGCGGAGCCGCGGUGCCCACGCUGUGCCGCGACCCCGCCGCCCCCCGCUCCCGCCACACGCGGGCAAACAAAACAAGUUGCAGGUCGCUGCCGCCGGAGGGGGCCGGGCGGGUCACUCACCCUCAUCCUGCUCAGCGGGCUCGGGUCGUCCGGCCGCGGGGUCAGGGAAGACCAGAGGACCACUAGCCCCAGGAAGCUUCCCACCACCAGCAAACUGCGUGGUGGAUUUGUACCGAAAGGCCCAGGUGAGAUGUGCAAAUAUCACUGGAUUGGAGGAGCUCACUUGGAAAGGCAGUAUUUCUUUCUCUUGAGCUAAUGGGAAAAAAAGGCAUUCGUCUUACACCAAUAAGCAAUACCAACCUUGUUCACGGGCUGGGGAGACAGUUUUUUAUUAUUAAGGAAGUAGGAAGCUUGGUCCUGCACGGUGGCUCAUGCAUAAUCCCAGCACUUUGGGAGGCCAAGUUCCUGGGAUAAUAGUCACUAAGGAAGAGGGUAGAAACUAGAACUGAAUGAGAUGGACACAGAGAUCGCCAAGAGAAGCGUCAUCCUCUGCCAAGUCAUGGGGUCAUGCGUGGUGGAUGGUGACAUGGCAUCUUCAGCUCAGAGUCCAGCUGGGAGCUCAGAAGCAAGAUCAUUUGCUGUGGGGAAGCAAACUACCAUAUGAGAGGACGAUCAAACAGCCUCUGGAGUCUCAUUUGGUAAGGAACCGAGGACUCCAGCCUGAGGACUCGGGCAGGAAACCGAGGCCUGCCAACAACUAUGGAGCAAGCCUGGAAGUGGAUCCUUCCUCAGCCUUCAGAUAGGGCAGCAGCUGGAAUGACAGCCAAGGCAGUGCCACCUAGCUUAGCAACCCCCAGAGAACUAACUCUCGGUAAGAUAAUACAUGUUUGUUGUUUUAUGCUGCUAAGUUUGGGGGUAAUUUAUUAUACAAUAGAUAAUUAAAACGCAUAGCAUAUAAAUAAAAUCAAUAAAACCAGUAUGGGUAAGC